UGCAGAGCUGAGAGCUGGUCUGAUAUCCUAAGAGGUAAAUGCUCUGACUAAAAGGGACCAAUCAAGACACCUUCCAGAGAGGAGGCAGAAACAAAGAGUGAACUCAGGUGCAGAGGUGGACUCCUGUACAGAGGGCCCAAGAUUUUUAACAGACUCUUUUUUGCAAGGCUGGACUGGAAAGGCAGGUAGGCAAGUCAUAGAGUACCCUGCCAGAUAAAGAUUCAUCAAAAGCUGAGGUGCUGAAUGAGGACAAAGGAAACAUGGAAUGUAUGGUGUAAGAAGGAAAUUAUUAAGUCAACUCUGGAUAUGUGAUCAGCAUCAGAAAGGAGAACUUUGGAGUUAUGCAUAUUUUCUUCCUUGCUUUUAUGUACUUUACAUGUUUACCUAUCCUUUCCUCUCACUUUCCCAGUCUGCGAUUUCUAAUAUAUGUUAAUUGUAGGUUAACCUAUAAUUCAGGGCUUAAAUUACAAGAUACUAAUGGAAAUUUUGUCUGAGUCUUAAAAUGAAGGGCAUUAUUGAAAGAUGAAAGGACAUAUAGGGUUUUGUGUCUACUUUUUGGGCAAAGAGUGAGCAAAAGUUGAUGAUUGUAUGAUAUAUAACUGCACUGUGACAGGUCAAAAUGAUGCUAAUACUUUAUUUGAAGGUUAAAGUGGGCAAAAUAGGCAUGUAGGAAUGGAUGCUGGGUUGACAAAUGGUGUCAUCUGUCUGUAGUACCGGACUGUCUAUUGUCAACUUGGUACCAAUAUCACACCCUUCUGAGGUCUUUUUUGCAGAGGAAAAUCCAAUGUCUGCAUUUCCCAGGAUCUUUUUUCGUAUAUAAUUUUAGUUUAGCAUUUUCCACUUACAUAGAUUUGGGAGACAAAAGAGAAGAAGUCACUAUUCUCUGGAGAUCAUUGCUACCAGAUCUGUGAAUAAAUGUGAGAUCUGCAGGCGUUUUCCGCUAUUCAAAAUGCACUGGGCACUGUGCAUACUACUGCACCAUCUGUUGGGGGAAACUGAAGAGGAACAGAUACAUUGCCCUACACCUUGAUAAGCACCUGCAACAUGUGCAUGUGCGGGCUGCUGGAGGAGUGCACUAGAGGAGCUUUCAUUCUUACCACUGUGUGGGUGGGCGAGGAAGAACAGGUGUGAGCAUUUGCCAACAGAGGCACCCAUAGAGCCCCCAGGUGUUCAUGCUCCUGCUUAAUGUCGGGGCCAAGGAGAGGCCUUUUGGGAUUUU